rnacentral:rRNA from 1 species
UACGUAGGGGGGCUAGCGUUGUCCGGAUUUAUUGGGCGUAAAGAGCGUGUAGGCGGCCAGGUAGGUCUGCUGUGAAAACUCGAGGCUCAACCUCGAGAUGUCGGCGGAAACCAUCUGGCUAGAGUCCGGAAGAGGAAAGUGGAAUUCCUGGUGUAGCGGUGAAAUGCGCAGAUAUCAGGAAGAACACCCGUGGCGAAGGCGGCUCUCUGGAACGGUACUGACGCUGAGACGCGAAAGCGUGGGGAGCGAACAGG